GGCCUAAUUCACACAAACAAGUAAAGUUUCGUAGGAAAGCUCACAUAUUAGGAAAGUUAUGACAAACUAAUUUUUAUAGUAUACUAGGUGGGGAUAGCUCGUGCCAGCACCUAGUAUGUAGCUGACGCAUUCUUUUAUCUGUCUUUGAACAAAUUUGUUAUAGUACGGUAGCAAGAUAAACCUGUUAUGAAUCCAAAUAAUGCUUACUAAAGCAAUACCGCUAUGAAGGCGCACUAUAGGCCAUUCCCUAAUAGGUGGUCUUCUAAUAGAAUCAUACAUUUGUUAGCUGGAUUGUCUUUGCAUUGUAUCCUCUCCAUCGGACCAAAAAUAGAACCGAUGUCCACCUGAGUUAAUUUGACAAAACAACUACAAAUGGUAUUUGGUGCUCAACACUCUUCUAAUGAAUUGCCUCCUGUAUUUGGAAUUUGGGGACAUACUUAUCAAUUUUGAUUCUUUCCGGUUCAAGACUUCCCUGUUUCAAAUUAAAUUAGCACGCCCUGCAUGAAAGUCUGAUAAUCGGUUGGUAGCCAUUCAGGUUUUCUUCCUCUACCCAAACUCACAGUACAUUGCAAGAUAUAGGAGUUCAGAUGCCAAACAAACAUGUACUGGUAAGUGUGACAUUGACAUGCACUCACAUUUAAUCUCUCAGUCAAAGAUCUUGUAGUCCUUUUUGGCUCUCACUCCAUUAAGAAGCCACUCACUUGAAUCCUGCAAACAAUGGAAUCAUUACUAACUGAUAGUAUUGUAUAACAUAAUACUUUAAAACUGCAACCCACAAUGUUAAUUAUUUUUCUGUUUUAGCCUUUUAGUAAUACUUAUGGAAUGUUGUCUCAUUUCCUUCUAAUAUAAACAUUGGUGAUCCUAAUAUUAUGGAACAAUGUUGUUGUAGCAUAUAAUUUAAUACUUCAACAGAAGAGUUGAAAAAAAUACUAUAAACCUGACAGGAAUGCAAGUCGUAGAAAAUAUUGCAUUCUCACAGUUGCAAUUGCUAAAUGAUUGUCAUUUAAGCAUUUAAACUAAUAUAACAUUCAGUAGAUCUAAAGAUUCUAUAACAAUAAAUAACUUUAUGUUAUUACUAAUGUGCAUAGGUAAUUGUUGGUUAGACUAAUUUACAAAAGUUCACUGCUACUCGAGGUGUAACCAUCAGCUAGGUUGGGCGGACUCUUUAAAAUUCCUGCCGCACCUAUGCCGACGCGACAUGGGCGUGGGAUCCAUAUCGGAUUUGGUCAGCUUACCUCGGGUACUUUAACUACAAUCAAUGACUGAGAAGGAUGUAUCGAAUGGUAUUUGAUUUUGGGUUUAUGUCAUACAUAUAUAAUUAUAUAAAGUGUAAGAAUCCUAUUCUAUUACGCGAAAUAUCUUAUAAAUAAAAUAUUGGUGUUAUGAAGAAUAAAGUUUAUUAGUUUUAGUUCAAUAACUUCACUGAUUGAAAUAUAUACUCGUAGUAUACAUUUAUUGGCAAUAUCUCAGCAUCCGUAUCCGCGCUCGGAUCCAUACCCCGAAUCCUAAAAUUUGUAAGAUGAAAAAUCCGACGUCUCGAUCCGCACCCGGAUUGCAUACUCGCACCCAAGUUCGAGGCUUCGAGCAAUAUAGAUCAUCAACAAAUGGCAAAAUGAAAAUAUUGCAAGGUCAUGCACCUCAAUUUCCAGAAUUGAAAGUCAAAGAUUAGCAGAAAGGAGAACAAAAAAUCGUUACCUUUAGAAAAAAAGAUAUAGUACCUUUCUUAGCUAGCCUAGCGUGCUAUAAACCUGGGGAGAACAAGAGCCAGAUCGAACAUUCCUUUCAUUCUUUUAUAACCCCCUCUCCUUAGUUGCUCCACUAAUGAGGUAUCACAUGAAAGUACUCCAAAAACGUUCGUAGAAGUAGAUUGUCCAGAACUACUACCCUGUAGAGCACAACUUCUUCUUCUAGAAGGAGGAGAUUUUACAUUUUCAUACAACUGAGAAUCAUGAUAAAGUUAUCAUUUUGGUCGAAGAAUGGCAUUGAGCAAAGCAUAACCAUCACCAGAGUGCAAGAGAUGACUCAAAGUGUUGGUAAACUCUAGUUGAAGAGCAUCACCAACAGUUGAUUGUAGAAGGAACCAGUAGGUCAGAGAUGACCCAAAGUAAACUCUACUUGAAGAGCAUCAUCAACAACAGAACCAAUAACAUUUCAGAAUUAUUUGAAGUUGGAUAAGGGGAAUAAUUUCCAAUGAAGAAUUAACUAAUGAAUUACGUUUCAUCCAAAAAGACCAAAAUUCAAGGUGAAUCAUCUUGAGAUUCUUUGAUCACAACUUGUAAGACAAACCAAGAUUUCCAUAGAAGCUAUGAAAUACUCGUUUGCUCCUCAAACUUCUAGUAUAGGAAAGGUCACUACCUUAGGACUUAAUGAUAAUUUCCUCUUCAACUCAGAAGUAUUAGGGAGUUUGUACUUCAGCUGGAUACUUUUACAAAAUAAUAAGCAUUCAAGUGCAGUAACAAAGCUGCUUUUAUGGACUUGAAAGGAAGCGAUAACAAAGAACUUGGUAAGUUUUGAAGUCGNNNNNNNNNNNNNNNNNNNNNNNNNUUAGUAUAGUAUAAUAUAUAUAUAUAUAUAUAUAUAUAUAUAUAUAUAUAUAUGAUAACGGACAUGUUUAUUGUUCAUAUUCAGAUCUUCCGUCAUUAACAGUAUCUGAAAGGAACAAAAUCAAUCCAAAGAAAGCAUGACAAUUUGCAAUUUGGAAAAGCAAAGAGAACAGGCAAAAGUAAACACCCAGUUAUGAUCAAUAUUCCAGUUUCUUUAAAAAAAAAUAUUUUGAAUAGGAGCAUGAUAAUGCGAAGAUAUGCCUUUAAAUUUUAAAAGGAGAACACUAUAAUGCUUUUGAAAAUAAUUACUCAUAAAUAAGUCGUAAAUACUAAAAGUAACUAUAAACUUACUGUAUCCAAAUCGAUAAGCCCAAUCUUCAAGUCCUCCUAAAAGAUUUUCCGAAUGAAGUCAAUGAAUGUCCUAAAGUCCUUGUCAUACUCUUGACGAUUUGAAAGUAAUAUGCAUAUGAAGUAAAAUUAGAUAAAAAUACAACCGAUCAUUUCAUAUGCUCAUACCAUUUCUUAUAGCAGAACGCAAAAAGAUAAUAUGCGUGUACAAUAUUUGCAAUUGUUUAAAAGGUGAAUUUUGUUCUUCGGCCACUACUAUUAUGCCACUUACACUUAAAGCAAAAAGCUACUUGGGUUACUUAACUCUCACUUUACCUUGAAACAAAAAAGGAUGGACAAAACCUAAAUGGAGAAACAUAAGAGGGUACAGCAGUAACCCAAGACAAAUUUGAAACCAAAGUAAAGAGAUUAUGAUAAAACACAUAGAGAAAUUAAAUAAGAGGAUACACAGUAUAGAGAUUGAAGCGGCAGAAUCGCUUACGCAGCAACAGCAUCCAUGAGGAAGAGAAUCGUUGCUUCUGGUGUGUAUACACAUAAUCACAGAGAGACCGAUCGAGAACCAUCCAAGAGGACAGCGGAGUUUUCAUUAGAUUGUCAAAAGACCAAAAUGCCCUCGGGUACGAAUUUAAUUCCAUUAAGCAAACACGUCG
rnacentral:lncRNA from 1 species